rnacentral:rRNA from 1 species
AACGAACGCUGGCGGCGUGCCUAACACAUGCAAGUCGAGGGAGAAAAGGGGCUUCGGCUCCCGAGUAAACCGGCGCACGGGUGAGUAACACGUAGGUAACGUACCUUGGAGUCCGGGAUAACCAGUCGAAAGAUUGGCUAAUACCGGAUACGACUGCAGCAGCUCUGGCUGCAGCAGUGAAAGAUGGCCUCUGUUUACAAGCUAUCACUCCUGGAUCGGCCUGCGCACCAUUAGCUAGUUGGUGAGGUAAUGGCUCACCAAGGCUGAGAUGGUUAGCUGGUCUGAGAGGAUGGCCAGCCACACUGGGACUGAGACACGGCCCAGACUCCUACGGGAGCAGCAGUGGGAAUAUUGCGCAAUGGGCGAAAGCCUGACGCAGCGACGCCGCGUGGGUGAUGAAGG